rnacentral:rRNA from 1 species
GACAUAGGUGGCGAACGUUAUCCGGAAUUAUUGGGCGUAAAGGAUGCGUAGAUGGUAGAAUAAGUUACUGGUCGAUGCCAAACUCAAUUUGACGGAAGCUGGUAAUACUGUUCUGCUAGAGGGCAGGAGAGGUUGAUGGAGUUCUGUGUGGAGCGGUGAAAUGCGUUGAUCUACAGAGGAACACCAAAAAAAGGCGAAGGCAGUCAACUAUUCUGUUCCUGAC